GCUUGAGUAGUUUAAUAAAAAUGCUGAUUUGUGGGGUCAGUGAUGUGUUCUUACCUUAAGCC
rnacentral:tRNA from 1 species